rnacentral:rRNA from 1 species
GCAGUCGACGGUAGCACAGAGGAGCUUGCUCCUUGGGUGACGAGUGGCGGACGGGUGAGUAAUGUCUGGGAAACUGCCCGAUAGAGGGGGAUAACUACUGGAGACGGUAGCUAAUACCGCGUAACGUCGCAAGACCAAAGAGGGGGACCUUCGGGCCUCUUGCCAUCGGAUGUGCCCAGAUGGGAUUAGCUAGUAGGUGGGGUAACGGCUCACCUAGGCGACGAUCCCUAGCUGGUCUGAGAGGAUGACCAGCCACACUGGAACUGAGACACGGUCCAGACUCCUACGGGAGGCAGCAGUGGGGAAUAUUGCACAAUGGGCGCAAGCCUGAUGCAGCCAUGCCGCGUGUAUGAAGAAGGCCUUCGGGUUGUAAAGUACUUUCAGCGAGGAGGAAGGCGUUGUGGUUAAUAACCGCAGCGAUUGACGUUACUCGCAGAAGAAGCACCGGCUAACUCCGUGCCAGCAGCCGCGGUAAUACGGAGGGUGCAAGCGUUAAUCGGAAUUACUGGGCGUAAAGCGCACGCAGGCGGUCUGUCAAGUCGGAUGUGAAAUCCCCGGGCUCAACCUGGGAACUGCAUCCGAAACUGGCAGGCUAGAGUCUUGUAGAGGGGGGUAGAAUUCCAGGUGUAGCGGUGAAAUGCGUAGAGAUCUGGAGGAAUACCGGUGGCGAAGGCGGCCCCCUGGACAAAGACUGACGCUC